rfam:Stegodyphus mimosarum contig126677, whole genome shotgun sequence.
GCCUUCAUGGUGUAAUGGUCAGCACACUGAGCCGGUAUUUCAGAGGUCCGCGGUUCGAUCCCCGGCGAAGGCA